rfam:Anopheles christyi strain ACHKN1017 cont1.3807, whole genome shotgun sequence.
CAAACGGUCCUUAUCAGGACCACCAAUUCUAUUGAACGAAAGGACU